CCUUUAUUUAGUGAACCCCAUUGUCUUUUGGGCCAUAGCCGCGCUUGAUUCCUCCACUCGUGUUACUCACCCAAUCGUUCCGCUCCUGUUCCACAUCUAAUCCUCCCAUUUGCGUUUUUGAUUCUCCCGCGACAAAGUCCGACAGGCGCAGUCGUUGAACUUUCUCUGGAGUGCCGCACUAACUAGACUCAAGCUCCUGUUAUGGCAGCAUUUUCUUUUUUCUCCUCCCUUUCCAUUCUGCAGCUUUCAUUUUCUUUUGUUCUACGAUUUCCUACAGAAUGGUUUUAUCUUCAGUCCGGUAAUUCUGUUUCACCUUCACCUGUUGUGCUAAAUCUGGCAUCAAAUAAUUUUCCAGUUCCUCCUAUCCCCUCAUAUUUUUCCCCAUCAUAGCCACGUGCAUGGAACCCCCCUUAAUUAAUAACCGCUCUUCUUGAUAUCCAUCUCCUCACUCUUCUCACCCCCUUAAUCAGACAGGCUUUUGUUUGCAUAUGGUACCUAGCCCGCAAUAAAUCCAGCUCAAUAGCUCUUCAACGACAAUACUUUUAUCCAGCUACGUACCCUGACUUUGCAUCACUAUUACGCCUGGGCUCAGGGUGGUUGAAUGCAUCUCCACAUCAAAUGCCGCUCCCCUACAAUCCCUUAUUUUCUGAGCAAACACCUCACCCACUGACUGAUCGAGAAGUUUUUACAUCCGGCACUACAACAUUUCUGGCCGAAACCUUCCUCUCUUCUUAUUUACUGGUUUUCAGUUACUUGAUCGAUGAUCCAUACAGUUCAUCAGUUCUCACCUUCAGCUUGCGCCUUUCCGCCGAAAAUCGUCGGGUUACUGUUCUAAUCAACCCGUUGCCACUGUACUAGCUACGGUCAACCUCUCUGCAAAGCCCAGUGGAGAUUACCUUCCCCAUUCAACUUCGUCGUGCCAGUGAAUGUAGCCCUCAUACCAACGGCGGCGCUUUCACCAGAUUGGCUCGCAUACAAACCGGACUGCCGUCGACUGUGUGAGAGAGAGAAAGCUGUUUAAGUGAUAGCCCCAGGAAUGUAGGCCAUUAUCUCUCUCAACAACAAAACGGAUAUUGGCCUCCGCCUGGAUGGUCGGGCGGGGGGAUCUUGGGAGGCGGGAAGGGUGGGCUCGGGGCCGGCGGAGUUGCGGGGGAGGUGUGCUGGGUCGCGCAUUGUCAUCUCGACGGCCGUCCAUGCGUAGAGGCAAGCCUCCGUGCUUCUCAUCGUCGGGCGAGCAAUGAGGCGUCACAUGUGUGAGACCCCGAAGAUGUGACUAUCGACUGCGGCAGGUUGAGCCAAGAAGGAAACUCUGGUGUGACCAGCAGCGAUUACUGACGUAGCAAAUCGAUCGCAAGAUCGUGCAGUAUAGGGGAAAGACUAAUCGAACCAAUCUAGGUAGCUGUUCCCUCGAAGUUUUCCUUCAGGAUACUGGCAUUCUGUGAUAUAGAAGCAGUUGUUAUCCGGUAAAGCGAAUGAUUAGAGGCUGGGGGCGGCGAAACGUCUCGACCACUACUUUCAAACUCUUAAAAGGUGAGAGAAGCCGGAGUGCGCGUUGGAACGUGUGAAAAGUGCAAGCUGGCGCCAUUUGGUAAGCAGAACUGGGCGCUUGGGAUGAAGAAAACGUUCGGCUUAGUGUGCCUAACGCGACGCCUCAUGAGAUACCAACAAAAGGUGUUGUUGGUCCAGACACGAGGACGGUGCAUGGAAGUUGGAAUCCGCUAAGGAGUGUGUAAGCAAUCACGCUGCCGAUCACGCAAGCGGCCUCGCACAAAUGAUGCGCUGGGAGCGGGACGGUGAGUGCGGACGUCAUUGCAACUGAGUCGGUAAUUGUGUGGAUGUGAGGAGAAGAGAGCUCAGGCGCGGGAAUUGUUGUGACGAGUAGGAGGGUGGCCGUGGUGAGCGGAACUCGGGGCGUGAGGCCUGGAGUGGGGGAGCCGCCACGGGUGAGAUCUUGGUGGUAGUAGGCAAAUAUUCAAGUGAGAACCUUGAAGGGCCGAGGUGGAGAAGGGUUCCAUGGGUAACAGCAGUUGGCCAUGGUUCAGGCGGUCCUCAAAGUGAUCCGGGUAAAUCGGUGGCAGAGACGGGGUGCCUGAUCAUUGUCAGGAUUGCGUGCCAUUUGUACUGUUGCCCGGUAGCCCCCUGUAGCGAAAGAGGCGGUUACAUAUUCCGGCGGGACCCUGCGCCGGAGAUUGGUGUAUUCUGGCUUCUCGGUCAGGUUUGCACGCUGGCGGGGUGAGGACGCAAUCGGACCUCGGAGACGUUCGGCGAGAGUUCUGGGAAGAGUUCUCGUUUCUUUGUUAGGAAGUGCACGCAUCGCCCUGGCAAACGGGUUGUCCGAGAUAGGGGACUAGCCUCCGUAAAGCACCACCCUUCUUGGUGGUGCCGACACUCUCUGUCGGCCCUUGAAAAUCGAGGCGAGGGCUAUGUAAUCUUUCGUGGCAGGCGUAGCCCAUUCGGCAAUGCAGGGUCUCCAAGGUGAACAGCCCUUGGCAUUUUGAUCAAUGUAAGGUUAAGGGAAGUCGGCAAAAUUGGGAUCGUAACUUCGGGAAAAAAGGAUGGCUCUGAGGGCCGAAGUCAAACGGGCUGGAAGUCAGAUUACGUUUGUCGGAUCAAGUGGAGCUGGUUUCUCUGUUGCCGUUGUCUGCUUCGAUGUGGGUUAGGUUGACGGAGUUACUGGAUCUGACCGAUACGUCGUGGGACUUUCCGCUAAAGAGUUGCUUGCAAGCGUGUGCAAUGGUAACUGUGUCGCAAUGCGGUCUUGUGGCUCUCUUUCGUCUGGCCGUUCAACGCUGGAACUCAGACGUGGCAUCGGACCAGAGGAACUCGAUGUCUAAUUAAACCAAGCAUUGCGAUGCUCCACUGAUCGGUUUUGAGCGCAAUGUGAUUCUCCCAGUGCUCUGAAUAUGUCAAGUGAAUGUAAAUUCAGUCAGCCGCGGUUUGUAAACGCGGAGUACUAUGAUCUCUCUAAGGUAGCCAAAUGCCUCGUCAUCUGAUUAGUGACGCGCAUGAAACUCGAUUAACGAGAUCGCUACUUGGUCGCAUAUCUACUAUCUACGGCGAACCAGCAGCCAAGGAACGGCUUGGGCAGAAUUAGCGGCGGAAAGAAGACCUGUUGAGGCUUGACUUAGUCCGAACUUUUGUGAGGAGACAUGCCGGGUGUAGAAUACAAGUGGGAGACCGGGUCCUUCGGGCUUGUCACAGUGAAAUACCCACCGUAUUGUUUCUUUGGCUUAUUCAGCUAACGGGAAUUGAUUUUGUUCUCACACAUGCCUGGCGUCCCGUGGCGUAUGCUGCGGGGCGUUGGUAUCUUGGUCAUGUCAGAGUAGUGCGUGGUCUUCGCCCGCGCGUUUUGAUCUGAUUGUGAUGUGGCGACCCUUCUGAAACAAUUCGAGGAGUUUGACUGGGGCGGUACAUCUGUCCCAGAAUGGUAACGCAGGUGUCCCAAGGUGAGUCAGCCAGGACGGAAACCUGGCGUGAGUAAAAGGCAAAAGCCUUACUGUUAUUUUGAUUUCAGUCGAAUACAGGACCGUGAAAGACGUGCCUACUCGAUCCUUUUGAAUCCGCAUAUUAGAGUUUUGAGGAGCAAGAGGUGUCAGAAAAGUUACCACAGGGAAACUGGCUUGUGGGCGGCCAGCGUUCAUCGCGAGUCGCUUUUGAUCUUCGAUUGUGUGCUCUCCCUAUCGUUGUGACGCAGAAAUUGACCUCAAGCGAUUGGAUUGUUCACCCACUAAUAGGGAACGUAGCUGGUUUUAGACCGGCGUGUGAGACGGUUAGAUUUUACCCUUACUAAUGAGUACAUUGAAACAGUGAGUACAAACUGCCCGUUGUCUAUGGUAAUCCUGUUUAGUACGAGAGGAACGGCAGGUUCAGACAAAUUUGGUAUAUGUCCUGGUCGAAAGAGCAAUGGUGCGAAGGCUACAUGGAGGAUUUGAGGAUGAAAGCCUCUAUAGUCUGUAAUCCUCGUCAGUAUGCAAUCGAGUAUAUUCAGUGCCUGACAACGUGGCUAGGCCAAGCCUAAGUAUUCCUGCCGGUGCUUGU
rnacentral:rRNA from 1 species